rnacentral:rRNA from 1 species
CCUACGGGUGGCAGCAGUGAGGAAUAUUGGUCAAUGGACGAGCGUCUGAACCAGCCAAGUAGCGUGAAGGAUGACUGCCCUAUGGGUUGUAAACUUCUUUUAUAUGGGAAUAAAACGUUCCACGUGUGGGAUUUUGUAUGUACCAUAUGAAUAAGGAUCGACUAACUCCGUGCCAGCAGCCGCGGUAAUACGGAGGAUCCGAGCGUUAUCCGGAUUUAUUGGGUUUAAAGGGAGCGUAGGUGGAUUGUUAAGUCAGUUGUGAAAGUUUGCGGCUCAACCGUAAAAUUGCAGUUGAAACUGGCAGUCUUGAGUACAGUAGAGGUGGGCGGAAUUCGUGGUGUAGCGGUGAAAUGCUUAGAUAUCACGAAGAACUCCGAUUGCGAAGGCAGUUCACUGGACUGCAACUGACACUGAGGCUCGAAAGUGUGGGUAUCAAACAGGAUUAGAUACCCCUGUAGUC